rnacentral:rRNA from 1 species
AGUCGAACGGAUCCUUCGGGAUUAGUGGCAGACGGGUGAGUAACGCGUGGGAAGCUACCUUGUGGUAGGGGACAACAGUUGGAAACGACUGCUAAUACCCUAUGAGCCCUAUGGGGGAAAGAUUUAUCGCCAUGAGAUGUGCCCGCGUUAGAUUAGCUAGUUGGUAAGGUAAUGGCUUACCAAGGCGACGAUCUAUAGCUGGUCUGAGAGGAUGAUCAGCCACACUGGGACUGAGACACGGCCCAGACUCCUACGGGAGGCAGCAGUGGGGAAUAUUGGACAAUGGGGGCAACCCUGAUCCAGCCAUGCCGCGUGUGUGAUGACGGCCUUAGGGUUGUAAAGCACUUUCAGCAGUGAAGAUAAUGACAUUAACUGCAGAAGAAGCCCCGGCUAACUUCGUGCCAGCAGCCGCGGUAAUACGAAGGGGGCUAGCGUUGUUCGGAAUCACUGGGCGUAAAGAGUACGUAGGCGGACUGAUAAGUUAGGGGUGAAAUCCCAAGGCUCAACCUUGGAACUGCCUUUGAUACUGUCAGUCUUGAGAUCGAGAGAGGUGAGUGGAACUCCGAGUGUAGAGGUGAAAUUCGUAGAUAUUCGGAAGAACACCAGUGGCGAA